rnacentral:tRNA from 2 species
GGCCUGCUAGCUCAGUCGGUUAGAGCGUCGUGCUAAUAACGUGAAGGUCGUAGGUUCGAUCCCUGCGCAGGCCA